ACUUUACAAUGCGGGAAACCGUGAUAAGGGGACACCGAGUGCCAGCAUCCUAUGCUGGCUGUCCGGGUGUGUAAAAUACACCUGUUAGCAAGGGCCGGGCAAGACCGGUGCCAGCCGCCGCGGUAACACCGGCGGCCCGAGUGGUGAUCGUGAUUAUUGGGUCUAAAGGGUCCGUAGCCGGUUUGGUCAGUCCUCCGGGAAAUCUGACAGCUUAACUGUUAGGCUUUCGGAGGAUACUGCCAGACUUGGAACCGGGAGAGGUAAGAGGUACUACAGGGGUAGGAGUGAAAUCUUGUAAUCCCUGUGGGACCACCUGUGGCGAAGGCGUCUUACCAGAACGGGUUCGACGGUGAGGGACGAAAGCUGGGGGCACGAACCGGAUUAGAUACCCGGGUAGUCCCAGCCGCAAACGAUGCUCGCUAGGUGUCAGGCAUGGCGCGACCGUGUCUGGUGCCGCAGGGAAGCCGUGAAGCGAGCCACCUGGGAAGUACGGCCGCAAGGCUGAAACUUAA
rnacentral:rRNA from 1 species